rnacentral:rRNA from 1 species
UACGUAGGGGGCAAGCGUUAUCCGGAUUUACUGGGUGUAAAGGGAGCGUAGACGGCACUGCAAGUCUGGAGUGAAAGCCCGGGGCUCAACCCCGGGACUGCUUUGGAAACUGUGGUGCUAGAGUGCAGGAGAGGUAAGUGGAAUUCCUAGUGUAGCGGUGAAAUGCGUAGAUAUUAGGAGGAACACCAGUGGCGAAGGCGGCUUACUGGACUGUAACUGACGUUGAGGCUCGAAAGCGUGGGGAGCAAACAGGAUUAGAUACCCGAGUAGU